UACGUAGGGGGCUAGCGUUGUCCGGAAUCAUUGGGCGUAAAGAGCGCGUAGGCGGCCAGAUAAGUCCGGUGUGAAAGUCAAAGGCUCAACCUUUGAAUGCCGCUGGAAACUGUCUGGCUAGAGUCCGGGAGGGGCGAGUGGAAUUCCUGGUGUAGCGGUGAAAUGCGCAGAUAUCAGGAGGAACACCAAUGGCGAAGGCAGCUCGCUGGGACGUUACUGACGCUGAGACGCGAAAGCGUGGGGGAGCAAACAGG
rnacentral:rRNA from 1 species